ACCAACUGGAGCCCCCAGAACUGGCAGACACCUGCCUGAUGCUGCCAUGGGCCCGCAGCUCCUUGGCUAUGUGGUCCUUUGCCUUCUAGGAGCAGGCCCCUUGGAAGCCCAAGUGACCCAGAACCCAAGAUACCUCAUCACAGUGACUGGAAAGAAGUUGACAGUGACUUGUUCUCAGAAUAUGAACCAUGAGUAUAUGUCCUGGUAUCGACAAGACCCAGGCCUGGGCCUAAGGCAGAUCUACUAUUCAAGUAACGUUGAGUUGGUUGAUAAGGGAGAUAUUCCUGAAGGGUACAACGUCUCUCGAAAAGAGAAGACAACUUUCCCCCUGAUCCUGGAGUCACCCAGCCCCAGCCAGACCUCUCUGUAUUUCUGUGCCAGCAGUUAUCCACAGUGCUGCACAGCCAGCUGCUCUCUGCACAAAAACAGAGGGUAGCUGCAAGAACAAGGAGACUCCUCCUUCAGGAGACCACUCGCCGACCAACAGAAUAAACUUCCUCCAUCAUCCCACAGAAGCUCUUCCCCACUCCCCAGCCUCAGGGACUCUGCAAUGCAGCCGCUCUGCAGAAGCAGGGGUCCACCUCUAUCUGCUGUACCAAU